UUUAUGUCUCCUACUCCACCUGAGAAGCCAUGGCGGAUGCUUUACCAUAGAAAAGAGAAGAAGAUUUAGAGAGUGUAUCUUUGUGAGAUUCGAAUCAAGUAAAGAAGGAGGAAGAUCAAGAGAAGUUAACUGCUGCCAUUAAUUUGUUGAAAUUAGGGUUUGUGUGAAGAAGUCUGGGUUAUGAUCAAACCAAAAUGAUGGGUUGAAUCCGAAAUUAAUGGUGAAAAUGAGAAUUUGAAGAUGGUAAAGGGUUUGAGAUGAUUGGGGUACUGAAUCUGAGAUGGGGUUUCAAAUCUGUGUUGCAAGCAGACAAGGAAAUGGAGGAAUUAUUGGUUUUGAUGGUGGAAUCUGGUGGUUGAUGUGCAGUAAAGAAGAGAAUGAUUCAGAUGGCGUUGAUGCCAUGACCUGGUGGUAAUGAAAUGGGUGUGUGGUAUUGGAUGAGUUCUGGUUAUGUUGCAGAGCUGGAGAAAUACAGGGAAGAACAAUGGGUUGGUGAUGUAUAAGCUAUUACAGGUGCAGUUCGAGGCAGUGAAAUUGAAGCUCAAACUGAGAUAGAACUGGUGAUUGUCAUGGAUGCAUUGGUUGUAUUACAGAGUAUUGGACUGAGAAGUGGGAAUUGCAGGUAGAUGGACUGUGAUAGUGGUGGUAAUGAGUUGAUCAAUGGAAUAGUUCUGUUGAAGCAUCAAUGUACUAAAGCUCAGAGAUUCGAGUGGAAUAGAAGGUGAUUGUAUUGUUGUUGGUGGUUGUGAGCUGAAAUGAUUGAAUGGGUCUGCUCUUGAACUCAGAAGAUGUGAUAUGGAAUUGCUCAGUGGUUGAAAUUGGAGAUGAUCUGGUGGUGCAAUUGGCUAGGAUUCGUUGUUUCAAGGAUUAAUGGGUUUUUACUGAGUUUCAAAGAUAAGAAGAAUGGAAAUGAAUCAGUUGCAGGUUGUUUUGGUUAUGGGUAUAAGUAGCUGAUUUUGGUGUUGUUAGCUUCUGGUGUUGAGUGUUAUAUGCUUGAGAUGGUGGUAGCAGAAUGUAAGUGAUGCAGCUGAACUGAAGUCCCGGAGGUCUGUAAACUGGUGGUAAUUACUGGUAAAAUGAGUCUUUGAUGGACUUGUGAGCAGCUGCAGUUGCAGUCAUGUCCAUGGUGGUGCCGUGGCUCAGUGCAAUUGAGUUCAGAAAGUUUUUAUGUGUGUUUGCUUGGUGCUGCAGUUUAAGAUGACAUUGCAGGUGAUGGCUCUGGUGAUGAACUGAUGUAGCAGGUGUAUGUGUUGGCUGUGACUGAAAUGGAGAAUGGCUCAAGUAGUGCAAGAAUGAUGCAGUGGUGUUGUUGGAGCUGAUGCUAAGAUUAUAGCAGUUGUGUUGGUAUCCAGUAGAGUCUGAGUUAGCAGUGUAGGUGAAUGAUGAGGAGAUGCAGGUGGUGUUUGCGAAGGAUAAGGUUGUGACUGUGUUGGUUGCAGCGUCAUGGAAUGGGAGAUGGUUGUGCAUCUGAACUGUAAUGUGCAAUGACUGGAACUUAAUGGUGCUGCUAUUGGAGGGAGUUGUACUGUAUCUAAAGACGAUUGCCGUGUUUAGCGAGUUAUGGCAUGAACUAUGAGGUACUGGUGAAGAGAUUGUUUUGCUGGAUUGUUGACGGAGUUCAAGAAGCUACAACAAUUGUGAGUUGCAGUUGAACUGGUUAUUUGGAAUGGGA